rnacentral:rRNA from 1 species
UACGUAGGGUGCAAGCGUUGUCCGGAAUUAUUGGGCGUAAAGAGCUCGUAGGCGGUUUGUCGCGUCGGCUGUGAAAACUCGGGGCUCAACCCCCGAGCCUGCAGUCGAUACGGGCAGACUAGAGUGCUGUAGGGGAGACUGGAAUUCCUGGUGUAGCGGUGAAAUGCGCAGAUAUCAGGAGGAACACCGGUGGCGAAGGCGGGUCUCUGGGCAGUAACUGACGCUGAGGAGCGAAAGCGUGGGGAGCGAACAGG